rnacentral:rRNA from 1 species
GAGGCUGGCGCAGCUACACAUGCAAGUCGAGCGGAUGAAUAGAGCUUGCUCUCUGAUUUAGCGGCGGACGGGUGAGUAAUGCCUAGGAAUCUGCCUGGUAGUGGGGGACAACGUUUCGAAAGGAACGCUAAUACCGCGUACGUCCUACGGGAGAAAGCGGGGGAUCUUCGGGCCUUGCGCUAUCAGAUGAGCCUAGGUCGGAUUAGCUAGUUGGUGAGGUAAUGGCUCACCAAGGCGACGAUCCGUAACUGGUCUGAGAGGAUGAUCAGUCACACUGGAACUGAGACACGGUCCAGACUCCUACGGGAGGCAGCAGUGGGGAAUAUUGGACAAUGGGCGAAAGCCUGAUCCAGCCAUGCCGCGUGUGUGAAGAAGGUCUUCGGAUUGUAAAGCACUUUAAGUUGGGAGGAAGGGCAUUAAGUUAAUACCUUGCUGUUUUGACGUUACCGACAGAAUAAGCACCGGCUAACUUCGUGCCAGCAGCCGCGGUAAUACGAAGGGUGCAAGCGUUAAUCGGAAUUACUGGGCGUAAAGCGCGCGUAGGUGGUUCGUUAAGUUGGAUGUGAAAGCCCCGGGCUCAACCUGGGAACUGCAUCCAAAACUGGCGAGCUAGAGUACGGUAGAGGGUGGUGGAAUUUCCUGUGUAGCGGUGAAAUGCGUAGAUAUAGGAAGGAACACCAGUGGCGAAGGCGACCACCUGGGCUGAUACUGACACUGAGUGCGAAAGCGUGGGGAGCAAACAGGAUUAGAUACCCUGGUAGUCCACGCCGUAACGAUGUCACUAGCCGUUGGAAUCCUUGAGAUUUUAUGGCGCAGCUAACGCAUUAAGUCGACCGCCUGGGGAGUACGCCGCAGGUUAAACUCAAAUGAAUUGACGGGGGCCCCGCACAACGUGGAGCAUGUGGUUUAAUUUCGAAGCAACGCGAAGAACCUUACCUGGC